rnacentral:rRNA from 1 species
UACGGGGGGAGCAAGCGUUGUUCGGAAUUACUGGGCGUAAAGUGUGCGCAGGCGGCGUUGCAAGUCGAGUGUGAAAUCCCCGAGCUUAACUUGGGAAUUGCGCUCGAAACUACGAUGCUCGAGUAUGGCAGAGGAAAGUGGAAUUUCCGGUGUAGCGGUGAAAUGCGUAGAUAUCAGGAGGAACACCGGUGGCGAAGGCGGGUCUCUGGGCCGUAACUGACGCUGAGGAGCGAAAGCGUGGGGAGCGAACAGG